CCUUUAGUGCGUGUUUACUGCUUCAUCUUAGGCGGUGAAAGUAAUAUAUUGGUUCCAACCCAGCACGCACGAUAAUAGCCAUUUUCUGAUUCAAUCUAGACUCUAGUAUAAGUUAAACCGGUUCUUUUAUGGAGUUUAAUAGUCACGAAAUCGAAGUAAAGGUUUGAAGAUUCCAUGCCAAGCGAAUACACACAUUUGAGUUCAACUAAAGAUGGUUUUCCACGAGCGAAUUUUCGGUCAAGCGAAACGAACUUUCCAUUGUUAAAACUAUAGAUAUAUAAAUAAUUAGAUUCCCGUGAUGACGUUCGUUUAACCCGUGGUUUAACACCAAGC